AUGGCUUUUGUGCAACAUCAAAAGGGUCCUGAUGUAGUGAGAUCGUUCGGAUUGUUACAACCUCUAGCAGAUGGUUUGAAAUUGAUUCUAAAAGAACAUAUUUCACCAAGUAGUGCUAAUUUUUCCCUUGUUAGAAUGGCUCCAGUGGCUACAUUUAUGUUAAGUCUGGUCGCUUGGGCCUUUGUACCUUUUGAUUAUGGUAUGGUAUUGUCAGAUCCGAACAUAGGGCUACUUUAUUUGUUUGCCAUAUCUUCGCUAGGUGUUUAUGGAAUAAUUAUAGCAGGUUGGUCUAGUAAGAUGGGGGGCGGCCGUUCGGUCGCCUAUGAUAUACGGACCAAUUGGUCAAAAUGGGUUUGUGCCGCAGGUGUUGAAUGAUCUACUCUACACAGGUGUGGGCUUACAGGGCUAGGGCUCAUAAACCCUUUCUUUCAUUCAUCAAGGGGUCAGUCACUUUUCCAGGCCAGGAUCGAGAAGUGGAAGUCAUAA
rnacentral:rRNA from 1 species